rnacentral:rRNA from 1 species
CGUGUAGGCGGUGCGGUAAGUCGGGCGUGAAAUCUCCAGGCUCAACCUGGAGGGGCCGUCCGAAACUGCCGUGCUAGAGUGCGGGAGGGGGAAGUGGAAUUCCUGGUGUAGCGGUGAAAUGCGUAGAUAUCGGGAGGAACACCUGUGGCGAAGGCGGCUUCCUGGACCGCAACUGACGCUGAGGCGCGAAAGCUAGGGGAGCAAACAGGAUUAGAUACCCUGGUAGUCCUAGCCCUAAACGAUGAACACUGGGUGUAGCCCUUCACGGGGCUGUGCCGAAGCUAACGCAUUAAGUGUUCCGCCUGGGGAGUACGGUCGCAAGGCUGAA